GAUACAGAGACGAUGCAGUGGACAGAGGAAAGGUGCCAGCGUGGUGAUGGAGCAGGAAACGCGCAGAGGUGCGUAGGUGGGGGGGGGGGUUAGCCCCCCCGAUUACAACUAUCCCCCACAGGGGCAGGGCAGCGACCCCUCCCCUCCGAGGCAGGACUAGGGCUGGCAGGAGUCUCUCCCAGGAGCACACACGGGAUGCGUGACCCUGAGAAGCACUGAAAGUCUGGCUAAGCAUCUAAAAUCACUGGGUCACAAGUACUGCAAGUGAAGAUAUCCUAGUACAAUGGGCCAAACAUAGACUCCGAGGUUUGACAUCACCCCACCAUUCUUAGCUGCAAGAAAACCGUCAGGCUUUCAUGCAUGGAUGGCUUCUGAAAGUUCUCACUUACCUCUAA